UUCCGACCAAGUAGUUACAGGAACGUAGUUAUAGGAACAGUCCACUUCAAAACAGUUCGACUAACUACUCUCCCCCAAAACCGGUUUUGCCAUUUGCAUUUGCACUGGCCAACUGGCCAUAGGAACUGGUAGGAGGGGUAAGGGAGUGACGCAAGCACGGCAACGGUCUUUAUAGUGUCUUUAUAGGAUCCUCAUAACGGAGCUCGAACGGCAGCGUUUAAAGACUAGGCUGGAGUACUUAACAGAGAAACACAGAAGACAAAGACUCCAGCGUAAUAUGAUCCUAAUUAAUAUGAUGGAAGAAGAUAGAAGAGCAGAGCGCAACAGGCAAACGAAACGACGGACAUUGCUAGGUCACUAAGGGUUCCUAUGCAGAAAAGGGAAAAGACCCUGCCCUGAAGUAGGAGCUGAAAGAGUUACAGGAACUGCGGUCAGAGGAA